GCCCCAAAUCCAGCCCUAACCACAACUAUGCUGUAUCCACACACCUGACACCCCACAAAACAUUGCAACUCUCUAGUAAAGGCGAUUAAAAAAUUUAUUAGGCGCUCCAAAACAAGUNCCGCAAGGGAAUGAUGAAAUAACAAUGAAAAACUUUAAAGCCUCAAAAAGUAAAAAUCACAUCUKG
rnacentral:rRNA from 1 species